rnacentral:rRNA from 1 species
UUAGUUUUUGAAGUAUGGCCUGCCCACUGACUGGUGUUGAAGGGCCGCGGUAUUUUGACCGUGCAAAGGUAGCAUAAUCAUUAGUUCUUUAAUUGUGAUCUGGUAUGAAUGGCUUGACGAGGCAUGGGCUGUCUUAAUUUUGAAUUGUUUGUUGAAUUUGUUCUUUGAGUUAAAAUUCUUAGAUGUUUUUAUGGGACGAGAAGACCCUAUAGAGUUUAACAUUUAUUAUGGUCCUUUUUCUGUUUGUGAGGGUUCACUGGGCCGUUUAAUAUGUUUUGUUGGGGUGAUGGGAGGGAUUUAUUUAACCCCUCCUUUGUGUUGUUAUAUUUAUUUAUAUUUACUUGAUCUAUUUAUUUUGAUUGUAAGAUUAAAUUACCUUAGGGAUAACAGCGUUAUCCCCCUUGAGAGUUCUUAUCGGCAGGGGGGUUUGCGACCUCGAUGUUGGAUUAAGGUUUAUUUUCGGUGUAGUGGCUGAAAUUAUUAGGUCUGUUCGACCUUUAAA